CACAACCCAAUUGGCCUCAGGCUGCUGCACUGUCACCGGUCUUUUCUCCGGCGACCACUGGCCUGAUUCCCCAACUUUCCCCGCAAUGCUGGUGGUUGUGGCGACAUGGGAAGUCGGUGGCUUUUGAGGCUCAUGCAGGGAUUGUUUGGUUAACUGAAGUGAGGCCAUGUAACACCUAUGCAGCUUGGCAGUUAAAGUAGCUGAAAGAAGCUUGGAAGACGACGACUGGGAGGCGUUGGGAUUGUAAGGGAAGUUGGUUCUCGCCCUCGGACCACACAUGAGCCUCGCCGCCUCGUCAUAGGCCCGAGCAGCGUCCUCCGCCGUUUCGAAUGUGCCCAGCCAA
rnacentral:lncRNA from 1 species